AACACGUAGGGGGCGAGCGUUGUCCGGAUUCACUGGGCGUAAAGAGCUCGUAGGCGGUUCGAUAAGUCGGGUGUGAAACCUCCAGGCUCAACCUGGAGACGCCACCCGAUACUGUCGUGACUAGAGUCCAGUAGGGGAGCGUGGAAUUCCUGGUGUAGCGGUGAAAUGCGCAGAUAUCAGGAGGAACACCAGCGGCGAAGGCGGCGCUCUGGGCUGGAACUGACGCUGAGGAGCGAGAGCGUGGGGAGCGAACAGGA
rnacentral:rRNA from 1 species